rnacentral:tRNA from 1 species
UAUACUUCGGUCAAAAGAAAUCUGGAGGUCGUGUGUUCGAUCCACACAAUUCGCAAAUCUGGAGGUCGUGUGUUCGAUCCACACAAUUCGCA